UACGUAGGGUGCGAGCGUUGUCCGGAAUUAUUGGGCGUAAAGGGGCUCGUAGGCGGUUUGUCGCGUCGGGAGAUGAAACGUCCACUGGACUUUAACUGGUCGGCUUGCUUUCGAUACGGGCAGACUGGAAGGUAUGCAGGGGAGAACGGAAUUCCGUGGUGUAGCGGUGAAAAUGCGCAGAUAUCAGGAGGAACACCGGUGGCGAAGGCGGGUUGCUGGGCCGACACUGACGCUGAUGCGCGAAAGCCGUAGGGGGAGCGAAACGGGG
rnacentral:rRNA from 1 species